GGGGCGCUUCUAGAACGGGCGGCGGGAGCGGCGGCUGCAGGGUGAGCGGGGCUGGGGGUACGGCCGGAACCCCUGCUGAGGGCGGGGGCACAGUUUUAUAGGUGCUCCGUGAGGGUGGAGUGGACCUGGAAGGCUGCUGUGGCCAUCUUUACCAGGGUAAUAUUUCAUUUUUCUGGCAUUAAGGACUUGGAAAUAUUCCCACAGGUAUCUGGAAGAUGAAACCCUGGCUGCAGCUGAUGUUCUUCCCAUGUGUUUUCCUGAUCUGGCACACAGAAGCAGAGUUCUUUACCUCCAUAGGUCAAAUGACAGACCUGAUAUAUGCGGAGAAGGACUUGGUACAGUCUUUACAGGAAUAUAUCCGAGCAGAAGAGAAAAAGCUCUCUCAGAUUAAAAGCUGGGCUGAAAAAAUGGAUAUACUGACCAGCAAAUCAGCCUCUGACCCAGAAGGGUAUCUGGCACACCCUGUGAAUGCAUACAAGCUUGUGAAGCGUUUGAAUACUGACUGGCUGGAAUUGGAAAACCUGGUUCUUCAGGAUACAACAAAUGGCUUUAUUGCAAAUCUCACAAUCCAGCGUCAGUUUUUUCCAACUGAGGAGGAUGAGACCGGAGCGGCGAAGGCUCUGAUGCGCCUGCAGGACACCUAUAAACUGGAUCCUGAAACCCUCUCUCGAGGGAACUUGCCAGGAACAAAAUACAGAUCCUUCCUGACAGUUGGUGACUGCUUUGGCAUGGGGAAGACAGCCUACAAUGACGGGGACUAUUACCACACUGUGCUCUGGAUGGAGCAGGCCUUAAAACAGCACGAUGAGGGGGAGGAUACAACAGUCAGCAAAGUAGAGAUCCUAGAUUAUCUCAGCUAUGCUGUUUUCCAGUUUGGGGAUUUGCACAGAGCCAUGGAGCUCACCAGGCGGCUGAUAUCCCUCGAUAGCACUCAUGAGAGAGCAGGCAGUAAUCUGCGAUACUUUGAGAAGCUGCUGGAGAAGGAAAGAGAGGAGAAGGAAAAAGAAAAUUCAGUAAACAAGACUGUGACAACCACAGAAGCUGUGGUGCAAAGUGGAGCCUAUGAGAGGCCUCUUGACUACCUGCCAGAGCGUGAUAUCUAUGAGGCCCUUUGCCGAGGUGAAGGGGUGAAAAUGACACCUCGAAGACAAAAAAGGCUGUUUUGUAGGUACCAUGAUGGAAACAGAAACCCUCAUCUGCUCAUAGCUCCCUUUAAAGAAGAAGAUGAAUGGGACAGUCCUCAUAUUGUGAGAUACUAUGAUGUCAUGUCUGAUGAAGAAAUUGAGAAAAUUAAACAACUGGCUAAGCCAAGGCUGGCACGAGCCACAGUACGUGAUCCCAAAACCGGUGUCCUUACAGUGGCUAGCUACAGAGUAUCCAAGAGCUCGUGGUUGGAGGAAGAUGAUGAUCCUGUUGUGGCUAAGGUGAAUCAGCGAAUGCAGCACAUCACAGGGUUAACAGUGAAAACAGCUGAGCUCUUGCAGGUUGCCAACUAUGGAAUGGGAGGGCAGUACGAGCCACACUUUGAUUUUUCUAGGCGACCCUUUGACAGCACACUCAAAUCGGAAGGAAAUAGGCUAGCGACGUUUCUUAACUAUAAAGAUGAGCCAGAUGCUUUCAAGCGGUUAGGGACUGGAAAUCGUGUGGCCACUUUUUUAAACUAUGUAAGUAUGAUGAUCCUUUAUGCAUUGGGUGUAACUUUAGCAGCAUCUUUUUACAGCUUGUGCAGUUGGUUAUUUGUAGAGAUUUCCUGGCAUCUGGCAGUAGGGAUUUCAUUAUUCCUGCAAGCAUCAGGUGCUGUCCCAUCUGAAUUGAUAGAAUUUUGGUGGUAUUUAACGUUAGAGCAGAAAAUUUUUAAUAUAGGAGCCCUCUUCUCCUUUCGGUCACUCUGCUGUGGAAUCUUUUACUUAAGUGGAUUCCGUGGGGGAAAGGAGACUUUGGCUAAUUUCUCAGAGGGAGAUACGUGGGGUACUCAUGUGGUAUGCUUUUGGAGAACUUGACUAGCAGCCACUUAAUGUGAGACAGUCAUAUUUUUCCACCACUGCUUGACAGCACGUGAUGUUGUGGUCUGUGAUCCUGUUCCUCAGCAAAGCCAGAGUUGCUCAGUUGCUCAGCACAGCUGCCACUUCAACAAAGGCAGGCAGAGCUGAUAAACUUGGUGCAGCUAGGUUACAAGUGCAGAUUUGAAAGAUUCAUUAGCUGCAUGCAUUGCACAGCCCACAGACCAUGUACACUGGAAUCCUAAACAGCUGCCACUGGGAAUAAUGGCUUUGUUUUCACAGUAGUCUUCUGACACUAUUUUGUCUAUCAGCCUGUACCUUUAGGAUCAUCUCAUCUUCUGUAAUUAAGAUUUUAGUGAUACAGUUUAAAUAUCACAGAAAUUUAAAAUUGUUUGCUGACAUCACAUUUUGAGAGUGAAAUGCAGCUCAAAACAAAACCAGAAACACUUUCAAGUUGAUAUGGCAGAGAGGGAUAUAAUCUUCAAAACAAGAAUUGGAAUAAGAUGGGUAGCUGUGAAAUAUUCUGCUGCAAAGAUAUUUUAGUUCUAAAUUGAGCCAACCUUCAUUUUGUUUGCUUCUCAGAAUUAUGGAUGAGCUUUGAUUUAGAAGGAACAAUACACAUCUCUGCCAGUUGUACAUGGUCAAAGGCACUUUGCCCUUGUUUGUCUAAUGUAGAACUCAUAACACAUCAUUCAUGUACCACCAGCCUUACUAAAAAGAGUAGUUGUGUGGCUAAGACAUGUGUAUUAACUUGCAAGGCUGCAUGCACACGCUUUCUAGUUGGAAGGGGCAAAAACCUGUGCACCUGUGGUAUCUGAUGCCCUUUUACUGUACCAAGCAGGAGGACACCAGAGUGGUAAUAACAUCUGCUUUAAACAGAAAUUCAAGUUACAAGGGAUUGUGGGGACUUGGGGAGUGUGUUAAUAGUAGUUACUAAAUUUGGUGGGAGUUGGAUCUGACUAAUUUGUUUCUUUUAAUUAGAAUCUGAGCCAGAGCUUACUGAAUUGUUCUAUUUUUAAUGGGAGCAUUUCUAGAAACUUUGGGGUUUGAGUCAAGUCUAGAAUUUACAAUAAAUCCAUUGUUACUGAUGAAUACAAUAGGGUUAAAUUUAUUCCAUUGUAGAGGGCAAAGCAUAAAGAUACAUGGUUUUGUUUAGUCACAUAGCUGUAGCUGUUGGAGCUUGAGCUGCCUAAAGCACUUGAAAUUGCUUAAGAUGUGCUGUUUCUGUGCUGUUGGUGAACAGCACAGAAACAGCUAAGAGAAAGAAGAAAAGAGAAGCUUUCUAAUAGUUUGUGUAGUUUUUGAAGUGGUUGACCAAGAUGCAUAAACUAAGUUAUGAAAAUGAGUUCCAAAGGCAUGGUUUCAAUUUACAAGGAAAUACGUGGUUUAACAGACACUUGUUUUCCUAAUUGGAUCAUAAAGUAGAAUGAAAUUCUUGAACCCAGCUUACUCUGAAGUCCUCUUCUCUUGUUCUAGAGUAUUAGCUUAUUAACAUUGCAGGUACACAACCUCUAUUUGAAACAGAGGGUACAUAAUCUAGGAAAUACAUAUCUAGAUAUACAUAAUAUGGACAAAAGCCUUCAGCUGAAAUAAAAUGUUUCAACAGCAGGUACUGCUUCCUCUGCAGUUUGUGCUGGUUGAAAUGUACCCUCCUCAUCAGUGCUGCUGGUAGAGGUGCAAGUGGAAAUAUCAGGCCUUGGGAUAUAUUAGUUUGUGGGAUUGUAUAAAAAACCUUGUAAAUGUACAGUUUGUGGACUUUGUUUUCUCAGAUGAGUGAUGUAGAAGCUGGAGGAGCUACAGUUUUCCCAGAUUUUGGGGCAGCAAUAUGGCCCAAGAAGGGAACAGCAGUGUUUUGGUACAAUCUUUUCAGAAGUGGUGAGGGGGAUUACAGAACAAGACAUGCAGCUUGUCCAGUAC